rnacentral:rRNA from 1 species
UACGUAGGUGGCGAGCGUUGUCCGGAUUUACUGGGCGUAAAGGGAGCGUAGGCGGACUUUUAAGUGAGAUGUGAAAUACUCGGGCUCAACUUGAGUGCUGCAUUUCAAACUGGAAGUCUAGAGUGCAGGAGAGGAGAAUGGAAUUCCUAGUGUAGCGGUGAAAUGCGUAGAGAUUAGGAAGAACACCAGUGGCGAAGGCGAUUCUCUGGACUGUGACUGACGCUGAGGCUCGAAAGCGUGGGGAGCAAACAGG